rnacentral:rRNA from 1 species
UUGAACGCUGGCGGCCUGCUUUACACAUGCCAGUCGAACGGUAACAGGCCUUCGGGUGCUGACGAGUGGCGAACGGGUGAGUAAUGCAUCGGAACGUACCCAGAGGUGGGGGAUAACGCAGCGAAAGCUGUGCUAAUACCGCAUGUGAUCUGAGGAUGAAAGCGGGGGACCGAGCAGCAAUGUUUGGCCUCGCGCCUUUGGAGCGGCCGAUGUCGGAUUAGCUAGUUGGUGGGGUAAAGGCCUACCAAGGCGACGAUCCGUAGCUGGUCUGAGAGGACGACCAGCCACACUGGGACUGAGACACGGCCCAGACUCCUACGGGAGGCAGCAGUGGGGAAUUUUGGACAAUGGGCGCAAGCCUGAUCCAGCAAUGCCGCGUGCGGGAAGAAGGCCUUCGGGUUGUAAACCGCUUUUGGCAGGAACGAAACGGUGUCCGCUAAUACCGGGCGCUAAUGACGGUACCUGCAGAAUAAGCACCGGCUAACUACGUG